CACUUUUUGAACUACAUUAUCCCUUGGCUUAUGUUGGCCUGGAUUGUAGCUCUAUGAGAUCAAAUAGGCUACAAUAAAUUCCACUGGACUCUUGAGUUGCUUUCAUUUGGUCCUUGACUGAAGAAUUCACAAAUUGUGAAGUCAUGAUUCCUUCCUGGAGCUCUAGGCUGACUUCCUAUGGGGGCCUAUGUUCCAUUCUAACUGAGCCAAGCUUCCCAUACUGUAAAUUACAAUUAAAGCUCAGACCCUUGAGACAGAGGAGGUUAGGAGAGUGACUCUUCUAACAUCUCCCAUCAUCCACACAUUUUCAGAGCAUGCUUGAACUCCUGGACCCAAGGCCAGUGUAAUAAUUUCAUAACUUAAAAAAUAUGGUGUUUUAAUUUUUUAAAAUUUCAUGUAAAACUGAAAGCCACUGUCCUGGAAAUGUUCUUUGCUUUUUAAAUUAUUUAAUGUUCUUUUAUCUUUGUAUGUUUACAAUGGAAGGAAAUAAUCCUACUAGCUGCCAGUGAAUGAGGGAGGAGAGCAGAGCUGAAGAAAUUAGAGCUACUGUUCAGCAGAAGCUUCUAUAGUCUUGUUUGUUUGAUGUGAUGGCUACUGGACUCACAGAAAUGCACCUUCUGUUUAUGCUUCCAAGUGUUCCUUUUAUCUUUAGAUAAAAGUGUACAAGGGAAGUUGCCAAAAUUAGUCCACCUUUUGGGCCCAGGCCACAGUUAAACUUAGAUGUAAAAGAGAUCAAAGAAUUUCCAUUUUGAUCCAAAUAGCUUCAGCCCAGCAGUGUGCUGGUGGCAAUAUGAAAUGGCUAAAUUCUUUCUGCUUUGGAACAUCUAAGCAGUAUAGAUAGAUCUUCCUCGAUUUAUGACUGGGUUACAUCCCUAUUCCCCAUAAUAAGUUGAAAAUAUCAGAAGUUGAAAGUGUAUUUAAUACACUUAACCUACUGGACAUCAUAGCUUAGCCUAGCCUGCCUUAAACAUGCUCAGAACACUUACUUUAGCCUACGGUUGGGCAAAAUCAUGUAACACAGAGCCUAUUUUAUAAUAACGUGUCGAAUAGAUCAUGUAAUUUCACUUAAAGUGAAAACCAGAAUGUUUGUAUGGGAACAGAAUGGUUCCUUCCUUAAUUUUUAAAAAAAAUGUUUAUUUUUGAGAGAGAGACAGACAGAACGCAAGGGGCGAGGGGCAGAGAGAGAGGGAGACACAGAAUCCGAAGCAGGCUCCAAGCUCAGAGCUAUCAGCACAGAGCUCAACGCAGGGCUCGAAGUCACAAAACGAGAUCAUAACCCGAGCAGAAGUUGGACGCUUAACUGACUGAGCCACCCAGGUGCCCCUGGGAAUAUAAUGGUUGUAAGUGGAUUGGUUGUUUACCCCCAUAGUCAUGCAGCUGACUGGGAGCUGUGGCUCAGUGUCACUGCCCAGCAUUCCAAGAAAGGACCAUAGCACAUAUUGCUAGCCCUGGAAAAGAUCAAAAUAGAAAACUUGAAGAAUGAUUUCCACUGAACGUGUAUUACUUGUGCAUCAUGGUAAAGUCAAAAAGUCACAAGUCAAAUCAUUGGUGGGGGGCUAUCUGUACAUUUGAAACUGCGAGGCACAAAAAACAUGCAUAUCUGCUUUUGAAAUGACUCCUGCCUUUCAGGAGCUGACAAAGAAACACUUGUGUAGACCUCACUUCAGAAUCUCGUGGGAAGCACCCAGGUACUCCUGAAGGCUGCCUCGGGGGAUCUCUGCAAUUGGACAGUUUCUCUCCUUUCCCCAGCAGAAGCGGAAGCAUGGUUUUUCUAUGCUUCUUUUAGUCAAACUGUUGAAGAUUCUUCUGGGCAAGAUGACAGCAGCUCCCUUCCCCCUCCCUUUUUUCUAUUGCUUUCAGGUUCUGAGCUUGGCAAGCAUCACACUGGUGUCCUCUGAGGACGUAGGAAUAGACAGAUGACUGUUCGUCUCUGUGCAGGAGUAGGGUCAUUAAAUUAUUUAUUACCCAAACCGUUUUUGUGAGUGAAAGGGGCACUAUUAGUAAUGAGACCUGGACAACUGGAAUAAACUGUGACUGCUGGCAAAUUGGGAUUGUGGUCACCUUGUAUGUAGGGGAAUGGGUGCCUAAGACAUCAAUUUUCAUGCUUCUUUUCCUGUGCAAGACUGGACAUUUUCUAGUCACUCCUUUAGGUUAUUACAGGCAAUCAUUUUCUGUGUUUGAUAGCAAACACAGCAAUAAGAAAAAAAAAGGAUAAUAAAUUUCCGUAUGACUCAGAAUAUAGCCCCCUUGUUAAAUUAUAUAGCUCCAGAAUAGAUUUUGUUGCAAAGAAUAUGUUCUGUAAAAAUCCUUUAAAGAAGCCUUUCAAACGUUUGUUUUUUUUUUAGGAUGCCACACCCACUAUUUACAAAGAAAGUCUUGAAGGGGAGCAGUGGGCCCCUCAGGCCACUUCUAGCAAAGAAAUGUACAUUCAGUACCAACAACACAGAAACAUUGUUGUAACUACACCCAAACUAUUUCUUGUGUCCAACAUAUUUUCGUCUUCAGACUGCAAUUGGUUUGCUGUUUCCUUUCUGUUUGUUUUACCACUUGCCUUCUAAAUAUUUUUCAUCAUCCUGGAGAUUUUCCCAAGUUGUGGUCUGCUUGCUGGAGGGCCACAUUCCUCUGAUUGUGGCAUUAAGUUGUGUCGCCAUGGCAAGGCUUGUUUAUCAUAAGGGAGUAUUUCACAGGAUGGGCACCUCUGAAAACAAUUUCAACCUCCUUUCCUCCACUUCAUAUGCUCAGAUUCUGAGACAGCAGCCCAGAUAUGGCUUUCUCAAAUCACAAACCGCAUUCCUAGAGUGUGAACUUUACUUUGCUCUGCUCUUAAGACAGAGAAAUAUUUGGCUCUCUUUAUUUCUUUCAAACUGGGCAGUGCCCUCUUGACUGUUAUGACUAAUGCACUUGUCAAGACUGGAAUCUGCUAACAGGUAGAUCACACUGCUCGAACUUGGGAAGCAAAAACGCCAGAGGCCAAAGGGUGACCUCGUGGUGCUUGAAGCCCAUCCUCUGUUGACUGUGAGGAGAUUUUCUAAGAGAAGGAAAGCUUAGUCAGAACCUGACAGUUCUUGCUCCCUCACAUUCCUACAGAGGAACCAGCUUGGGGAGAGAUAAGAGCUCUGGGUUGACACCCUGAUUAUGCCUACCUUUUUAUUUGUUAUAUGUGGAAAUUGACUUCAUCCAAUUAAUAAGAGCAGGAAACAGUUUUUGUUUUCUCUUUGUAGGGAAACAUGAAGUAACGGUUUUAUCUUAAUUUGUCAGGCAUUGCCCAAGAGACUACAGCCAUGUGGGCUGGUGGCCAAAAUAUCGCUCUAAGUCCCAAGUAUUAACACCCAGAUAUAAAAAGAAUGCUAAUUGGUUUUCCAGCUGAAAAAUAAUAAGGCACUUGUGCCAAAAAUGCUGUAUGGCAUGGAAACCCCAAGUUUAUACAAUAGGCCUGAUUGCAAUCUGGGGGCUCCAUUUGUACUCGUAUGUAGCACUAAACAAAGGGAGGUGUUGCACUCCUCUGCCUUUGUAGAAAGCCUCUGCUCCAGAUCUCAGCCUGGUGUUGCACCAGGCUUCCCACAGUCUUCCUGCCAAAUCUCCAAGUUUUUUCCUGGCUGCCAUUCAGGAAAGUACAGCUCCGUUCGUAGGAUGGAAAGUUAAAAAGGCCUUGCUUGGAUACGCUGAAAUAUAUACAAACACUGCUUGACGUAUGGAGUAGGCUGGUUUUGCACAAGCUGCUCCUGCCUGCAUUCUAAGGAAAGAGAAUGAGAGACUUUAAAAAGUUAUUCCAGUUAAAUGAUGGAGAUAUUAGAUGGAAGAAAAAAAAAUAUUUUUUAAAAAAAGUAAAUUCAGCAUUUCCCUUAAUCCCAACAAUUAUCCACCUUAGUUUCCUCAUUGGCAAAAUGUCAGAUAAUCUCUAAGAGCCCAUCCAGCAUGGGCAAUCUCUAAUUUAAAGGACGUGGUUUAGUUGAGAUAGAAGAUACUGAAUGUAGAUACUCUAGCAAGAAGGAUACUGGAAGUGAGCUGGUGAGAGUCACUCUCAGGGCCCUCGGCAAAUGUCAGUCUAGGACUGGUACACUGAUGCAUAUUGGCUGAUUGCCUGCAUUACCCCUGGCUACACACCUUGACUCUAUGUCUAUAUCACUGAUGGAAAAGUGCUUGAACUGAAAGCUUUCCUAAUACUUAGAACCUUGUUCUCAUUAUUCCUGUUGAUGGUUAACACCAUUGCAAACUUCACAGAUAAAUUCAAUAUUUAUAGAAUAUUAUCCAAAAAUGCAUUUUAAUUAUACUUAAUACUGAAAUAUACUCUUUCCUGUCACCAACAAUGGUCAUGGACUAUGACCAAUAUGCUAGCCAUGCAUGUAAAAAUGCAAGUAAGUUAAAAAAAACUUUAAAGAUACAUAAUUACUUUGACAGUAGGAGUAAAACAUUCUCAGUAACCAAUUUCUGCCAGAGGAUGCAGGGAAUAAAACAGGCCAUAAGCUUCCACUGGUGUGUACUAUUUUGGGUAGACACUGGCAAGCAAUUGUCUGUUUGUUUCUAUCAAUGCUUUUCUUUUAUUACUUUUAAUUUGUUAUUAUUACUGCAUUUUCACCUAGAAUAGUUAGGCAGAAUGGGAGGUAUUUAAGACUUUAGAAAGUAUUUAUUUAAGAAUAUGGAGCACCAGGACUUUUAACCUGCAGGAGAAACCAAGGAGUAGAAGAACAUUGAGUUAGUAUUGCUGGCCUUCAAUCUGGUUCAUCUCCACCAAAUAAAAUGAAUUUUCCAGUGUCUCCCAUCUUUCCAUGUAGGUUCCAGCUCCUUUGGUACAUUCCUGCAUCUGUGACUUGCUCUUUCUCUUACCUGGAGUGAGCUCCAUUCUCUCUCCUUCUAGAUCCUAGUUCAGUUCCCAUCUGAUCUUUGAAGCCCCCGAGACCACUCUCUAGUGCCCUUGGGUUUCCCAUUUAUCUGAACUCUUACUGCUUUUACUGUUUUCAUGAAACUAGGUAAGGAGGUGGAGGGCUCACAGAUCAGAUGGGUAUCGAACUGGGACCCAGAAUAUGAAGAGCAGACAGGAGUAUUUUUUAUUGCAAGGUGUAGGGACUCACUCAAGUAGCUCAAAAUAAGGACAGUGUAUUGUGGACCCACAGAGUCCAAGAAAUGUGCCUUGCAGGAUAUGAACUGGAACAUAUCAGAAAGCUAGGUGGCUCUCUUCCUAACUCUCAAGAUCAUACACUACUCCUCUGAUGCUUUCCCAGGAAUAUUUGCUUUCACAUUCUUCCCUUUGUCUCUCCCCAAUUUCCAUGUUAUCAUUUCAGUUUUCUUUCAGCUCAACUGCCCUCAAAUAACUGAAUUGGACUUUUAGGAUCUUACUUCCAAACUUCAAGAGAUUCGAUCAUUUCAUCUUGUGCUGCAUAUCCAGUCCUCCAUUUGAUCAGCGUGGUUGGCAGGGGCAGGGAUUUUUGAUACAGAAAGCUGCCUAAGCCCACUCCAGUGGCAGCCUGUAGGUGGAAAAGUUUCAGGGAAGGGGAAAACAAGUAGUAAAGUGCUCCAAAAGAUAUUCAUUAUUUGCAGAAUAAUUGCAGAAUUAUUUCCCCGAGGCAAAGUCCUUAAGGGCAAGGAAUAAAUUACAUGUUGCUUAUGUCCAUCACUGUGUUCAGCACAAUGCUGUUUAUCCGCCACAGUGAUUCACAACCCUGGCUACACAACAGAAUCACCUGGGAAACUUUUAGGAGCAUUUCAGUAUCAAAUCCUCCCCCUUGCCACCACCAGAGAUUCUGAUUUCACUAACUGGGGACAUGGCCCAGACACCAGGGGCUGCUGUGCUUUCCAGAUGUCAGACUUAACUCUUACUGAGGUCAGGGCCAUGGGAAACAGUACUCGUAUACCUGAAACAGUGAUUGGCCUCAUAACUGAAAACCUGGUAGAAAUUCAAGAGCUAUUAAGUAGCUUAAAAUUCAUGCCUGGCCUUUUUAGAAGGGUAACUGUAAUUACAUUCAUAUUGUCUUAGGUGGGGUGAAUGCUAGUUACAUAGGUAACUUUAGAAGGAGACAUUAAAAUUGCUUCUUGGCCUUUUGGCUAAGGUCAAGUGUAGAAGGAGACAUUAACAUUUCUGAUUUUAUAUGAAAAAUUUUUUCCUCAUUCUUGUAACUAAUUUCAUCAAAUGUGGUAGUCAAUGGUUAUUUCCACAAGGCUUUUUGAGCACAUCAUCAAUACAUCUUCAAAAUGCAGUCCUGUCCCUGGAUUCUUUGAAAGCAGUAUUAUAUAAUUAGGAAAAUUUAAGAUUUAGUAAAUUCUGAAUUGAUGACAAAUCAGAGUGCCACCUGAAUGACAAUUGUUUUAGUUUUUUCAGUGGUAACGCUGAAAUUGGCAUUGGUAAAUGUAGACUUACUUAAACAAAUUUUCCUUUGGAAUAGCAAGGAGCUUACUUAUUGCAGGCCCUAGAUGGAGAUGAUCUUUCAGGGUACACGUUAUGGUAUCCUUGUGGUUGCCAAGGUUUGCCUUAGGCUUUAUACCUAUUGGAUAUGGUUGAGUAGUUGGAGAAUUCCUUGAAAGUAGUUUCUGGAGUUCUUCAAUAAGAUCAGUGAAAUGAAGGAGAUAUUCCAAGCUAAACUGGUUCAAGUACAUUCGUUCAACUCUUUGUUCUUAAGGGAAUAACACUGCCUUUCCUGCCAAGUGCCUCUGGGAUCACCUUGGAACAUUCGUUAACCAUCUCUGGAAGUCAAGCCACCUUCAUCUUAUUAUUAGGCACUGAUUUUUGCAUAGAAUGUGAUUCAUCUGCUUUAAUGCUUCCUAGCCUAAUUUCCUUCUCUGAGAAGGAUCCAUUUUUCCCAAUUCACUUGCAGUACCCUUAAGGAAGGCAUGGUUUGACAUUGAACUCUUUGGCAAAGGGUCUCAGAAGAGAAUACCUUGGAAGACAUCUUUGCCAAUUUUUGAUCUAGCAAACCAGACUCAAUUUCCCUCUUGCGUUAUGGCACAGACCAGUGCAGUACCAACACUUUGCUAUCCUAGAGGAUCUUGUGCUGGACCUUCUGGAUGUGAGGAUCCCUUCUUGGACUUACCAUCAUGUGUCCAAUGGUCAAUAUGUGAAUUGUGAUGUUAGCUAUUAAGUUUCCUUUGGGGGCGAUGUGAAUGGCUUAUUUUGUUUCCUAGCCAGAUACUGGCUUUGCCAGAGAAGGAGCAGAGAAGCGACCCUUCCAUGCUGAACAGAGCUAUGACACAUCGGAAUGUAUAUUUGCUCAACAGAGUUGAUGGAAGUCUUUGUCCAUGGCAACCAUGAAUCUCAACCACACUUCACUUCAGCUCACCAAAAGAUGGACUACUUUUAUUACCUGAACAGGAAAACCGAGUCAUUUAAAAGGGUCAAAAACCAGACUCUUUCCUAAUCAGAGACCUUGGACCUUGGAACCCAAACAUGUACAACUUGGGUCCUGUCCUUUUGGAGACUAACUAAUGGGAAUAAAUUUUUCCAUAGCAGAA